GUCAGCGUCUACAGGCCCAACCUCUGCCUC
rnacentral:piRNA from 1 species